AUUGAACGCUGGCGGCAGGCCUAACACAUGCAAGUCGAACGAGUGGCGGACGGGUGAGUAAUGUCUGGGAAACUGCCCGAUGGAGGGGGAUAACUACUGGAAACGGUAGCUAAUACCGCAUACAAUCGGAUGUGACCAGAUGGGAUUAGCUUGUAGGUGAGGUAACGGCUCACCUAGGCGACGAUCCCUAGCUGGUCUGAGAGGAGGACCAGCCAAACUGGAACUGAGACACGGUCCAUGCCCCUACGGGGGGCAGCAGGGGGGAAUAUGGCACAAUGGGCGCAAGCGUGAUGCAGCCAUGCCGCGUGUAUGAAGAAGGCCGUCUGGUUGUAAAGUACUUUCAGCGGGGAGGCGUUACCCGCAGAAGAAGCACCGGCUAACUCCGUGCCAGCAGCCGCGGUAAUAC
rnacentral:rRNA from 1 species